GAGAUAUAUGAAUCCACUAGGAAUAUAGCAGAUGGAGAAUUUGGUAAGUAUCCUAAUUACUUACUUUCCAGUUAAAUCUCCAUACCUUCAAAUGCUGGUGACAAAUAGUCACACUUAGAAUGACUAAUUUGGCUUAACUACUCUAUUCUUAGACUGGACACAGUUGCAGCUCAGAAGCAAAUUACUGAGGUGGAGAAUUACAAAGCUCUUCUUAUCUCAGGAAAUACACAUUGUCUAAUUCUGAAGAGAACAUGUGAAACUCAACAACUGAAACGUUUCUCUGAGUUUUGUGGGCAGAACAGUGUCCUUGGAUGGUUGAAAAUGCUGUGAGAAAUUAAGGCCAAAGAAUAGUUCUUGAGAUUGAGUCCUAUCGUAUAUCUUAUCCAUUGCUUACUCUCACAGAGCUGAACACAAGAACCAGAAGUAUUUAUUCCUGUUCAC
rnacentral:lncRNA from 1 species